rnacentral:lncRNA from 1 species
UUUUUAUCUUUUUUCAUAUCUAUUAAAACGUCCUUAUUAUUUUUUUCCAUCAAUGAAAUAGUCUCUAUCUUUUCUCACAUCUAUUAAAACAUCCUUAUCGUUUAUUUAAGUCAACGAAAUAGUCCCUCCUCAUCGUUUCUUUCUGUCAACGAAAUCGUCUCUCCCUAUAUUUUUAGAAAUAUAUUAAAACGUCCUUAUUGUUUCUUUUUGUCAACGAAAUAGUCCCUAUCUUUU